UCCUCCUCCUCCUUCUUUAGGGCCCGAAGAAGCCUGCGCUCUUCUUCCACCAGGAAGAGUCCCACCUUCUCAAACUCCAGCACGAUGCGGUCUCUCCGUUUCUUCACCUUGUUCUGCAGGUGAUCUCACUGUCACCCAAGCUGGAGUGUAGUGGAGAGAUCAUACCUCACUGCAGCCUCCAACUUCUGGACUCAACUUCCCUGUUUUGGACAUCUCCUCCCGAAGGUAUUCCAUGUCCUUCUCCAACUUCAACUUUUUGGAUGCAAAAAAAUACCACAGGAUUUGGGGUCAGCAGUGUCCACAUCUCUCACCCAGUAUCCAGAUAAUGCUCACUGAAGCUGCAUCCACCCAGAGAUCCUCUUUAGGAGAGGUGGGUGACCAAAAGACAUCACUUGAGAUUUUUUUCAGCUAAAAGCAAUUAAAGAACAGAUACAAGAAUUGCCCCAAUCUUUGCCUUUCUCUACCUAAAAGCAGGAUAGGGGAGAAUACCUAACAGUCUAGGUAUUUCUCCCUAGACUAGGAGAAAGUGAUGUUUUUAAAACUAAAGGCAGGAAGUCAAAAGCUUAGCAGUCUGUGUAUCUCUUGUUUACUUCCUCCAUCAUGCUUCUUUGGGUCGUUAGUUCCUUUGUAAGGGUUCCUGAGUCAUUUAAAACUUGUAUUAAAUAAGUUCAGAUGCUCUUUCCCUGUUCAUUUGUCUUAAAUCAGUUUAAUUCUCAAAGCUAGCCUAAAAACCCUAAAAAGGCAGAGAUAAGGUUUUCUUCCCCUGAGUUGCCUAAGCCAUAAAGUCUAGGCUUCCCUUGUCCUCCUGGACACUCCC